rnacentral:misc_RNA from 1 species
GCGAGUAUGGCCCUCACGGGUCUAAUCCACCAUAAGCACCUUUGUGAACCAGUCAGGGGGACUCGGCCGUGAAAGCCCAGGCGAUUAGCGGAAGGGCCCUCCUUCGCAAACCCGUUUAGAAGUCUUGAAAGUACUUUUGUAUAAUCUAGUA